GGUCCUCCAGUCCAGCCGGGCAACGGUAGCGUUGACACAUCAAAAGGAACAACUUUCGAGUCUGUUGUAACAUUUUCUUGCAAAACUGGUUACGAUUUGGAAGGCGAAAGACAUGCCAUUUGUCAAGCUAGUAGUUCUUGGAAUAUAACAUCGCCUACAUGCAGUAUAAAAGACUGUGGAAAACCAAACCAAACAGCCAAUGGAAAGUACUCGCUAGAUGCAAGACAACUGACGGUUUUCAAUCAUACUGCAACAUACAAGUGUAAUUCUGGUUACGAAACAACUGAUGUCACGUUUAUUACAUGCAAUUCCUCUGGAAAUUGGUGUAGUCCGCCACCGAAGUGCAAUGAUAUUGACGAAUGUGCUCGAUAUACAGCAAGAUGUCAUAGGCGUGCACAAUGCACGAACACCAAUGGGUCUUACGAGUGCAAGUGUCACGUUGGCUUUAGAGAUAUCUCUAAGAACAAGGAAGUAGGAAUUGAUUGUCAAGAUAUCAACGAAUGUGCCAACGACAAUACAAACCCCUGUAACAGGAAAGGAUCUCAGUGUAUUAACUAUCCCGGAGGGUUUCUUUGUCUAUGUGACGACGGCUGGACUGACAAUAACUGCAGUACAGGUA